rnacentral:lncRNA from 1 species
UUAUUUUAAUUAUAGUAAAAAUUAGUGAUAGUUAUUUGGACUUAGAAUUCUACACACCAACCAAUGUUUGAAGAAAUUGAAUACCUCAGCAAGGAGAAAUUGCUAUAAGAAUAUUAACAUCUAGAUUAGAGAAGGAGGGUGGUCAACAUCCAAGCAGGUUAGAAGCUUUUUUCUUUUGAAUUGGUGAAUUUGAUUUUUUUUCAAAAAAAUUAUGCUUGUUAAUUGCUUGUGAAUUAAGAUAUGAGUGAAAUUUUAGUGAAGAACAAUGGUUCAAUUAAUAUUUAUUGAGGUUUUAAAACAAAUAUAGUAAUUGAUUAAAAUUUACUAAAGAUUUUCUUAGGAUUGUUUAGGAUUUGUUUAGGAUUUAGGAUUUGAUUAGGGUUUAGAAUUUGGUUAGGAUUUGAUUAGGAUAUGAAUAGGAUUUGGUUAGGAUUUCAUUAAAGUUUGGUCUAGAAUUUAGGAUUUGGUUAGGAUUUGAUAUGGAUUGCAUUAAGAUUUGAUUAGAACUUUUCUAAGAUUUACUUAGGAUAUAUUUAGGAUUUAUAUUUUUUAAUACUUCUUUAAGGUUAUUGUCAUUUUUUUAAGGUUUUUAUUUAUUUUUUCUUUAGGAUUUCUUGAUUAUUAUUAUUUUUUGAGAUUUAAGUGUAUUCUGUGUUGUCUAUUUUGAGAGAGACCAAAUUAUUAUAUUUAUUUAAAUUAUAUUUUUGUGAUACUACUCUUAAAAAAAAAUAAAAAAUAAAAUAACAACAGUCAAUUUCUACUUCCUAAUAAGCAUUUAGAGAUCUAUUACAUUGAUUUAUUACUAUCAUACAAUUAUUGCAAUUCCUCCAUUUUUUUCCAUUAACUAGUAUGUUGCUGUAAACUAACUGCUUCUAUUUCGACACAAUUCCUUUACGGCAUCAAGUCUUCUUAUUCUCUCUGUUUCCUUCUUGCCGAAGGUUCACGACACAUUUUUCAAAAGAUAGAGUGUGUCGGUGGUGUCGGUGAUGUCAGGACCUGAACUGGGUUCACGAACUGGUCGCCAAAAGUUGCAUCUUUGAACACACUGAAGCUGGUGAAACCUAGUGUUCCGACCCUAGGUGUUAGUGGCCCAGGUUGACUGAGCCGACGUCCGAAUCACUGUCACGCGUUUCGUCGGAACGUGGAUAAGUAUUUGGUCUGUAUGGGAUAACCCAGUUGUGACAAAGUCGGUAAUUGGAAAAAUGUAAUGGGAGCCUUACAGUACGAUAGGUUUUGCCUCGGCUACUCGGAAGAAUCAGACAAAAGGAUGCAGAGAUCGGUCCACAAACUUCGAAAAGGAAAGGGAAAACCGGCUGAAAACUUGUGCUCAUCAUCAAGCGACGACUUGAAGAAGCAAAGACUUUACUAGCAGAGAGUCGGAACGCUCACCAACAACAACAAAAGUGUGUUUUGUCGUGUCAUGUCACGCGUUCUGCAGCAUCUUUUAGAGUUUUUCCGAACUGCGAACUUGCUACUGCCUUCCACAAGACAUGCACUGGAAAAGUCUGGUGAUUUAUUAUAACUACUACUGUGUUCUUAUAUGUUUACCACUUAGAGUAACAUACUUUUGUUCAUUUCCGAAAAAUAAUCAUGUUUGUUUAGCAAAUUAUAUCUGUAUGUUUUAAUACGCUAAGUAAAGAAAUUGUGUGAGGUAACGACCCGAAAUAAAGAAACAAUGAAACAACGAUAUCCGUUGGAGGGCGGCAUACAUUGCUGGAAAGCCUUAUGAAAAGCAUUUAGUUCACCGUCAGCAAAUUAGACAGAUAACCAAUGAUGCAUUUGAAAGCAAAAGAGAUGGAUGUAGUCCGCACGCUUUUAUAGUAAAUACUCAUAUAUUACAUCUUAUUCGAAUACAAGGAUAGCUUUGAUGGUAGCGUGCAUACCAACACAUAAAUGAAGAGGCAUAAACAGUACAAAUAAAUAAGGAGACCAACGAUAUAGUAAAAGAUAACAUGGAAUGCAUAGAUCUGACAGACAUCUGUUCAGCAACGUAGCUAGUAAUCAGUUUGUCCUAUUGUACUUAACAAGGAACAUGAAUACGGCUGCCACUUGACAGAGACUCCAGCUGCAUCUUCAACUGCAUUGAGAGCAAACCCAACAAUUUAACCGAAGGGAGCACCAAAACAGCCUGCAAUCUCUUAGAAUUUGAUGUUUUUGUGUUAGAAUGCAGGAAUAGCUACACCAACAAAAGACAAGACCAUGUUCCAUAAGAGAUUGAAGACCUGUGCAAAGAUGUCCAACAAGUUGGUCUUGACUCUAACCUCAGAGGGGUUUCCUCAGGAACCCCCCGAACAACCGAGAAUGUCGUUGAA